GGGCCAAUGGAAAGGUCUCAUUCAGCGACUCAUGUUUACGAGAAAUAGUCAAUCAAGCCACAGAUGUAGCCAUUGAGUCAGUGGUAAAAAGAUGGCUACAUCUGGCUCCAGAUAGAGAUGGAGGGAGAAAGGAGAGGGCAAGGAGACAAGAGGAGCUCCAGUGAAAGACUAGAAGAACUGGUAAGAUAUGGAAGAUACGGCCUGAUGUGGAAGAGGAAAUGCAGCUCUACAAACAGGAAAAGUCAUUCCAUUUGAUUCUAAUUUACAGCACAUGGUAGCGGUCACUAAAAAGGAAAUGGUUUAG